GAUGAACGCUGGCGGCGUGCUUAACACAUGCAAGUCGAACGAAGCAAUGCGACGGAAGCCUUCGGGUGGAAGAUGCAUUGACUGAGUGGCGGACGGGUGAGUAACGCGUGGGUAACCCGCCUUACACAGGGGGAUAACAGUUAGAAAUGACUGCUAAUACCGCAUAACCCGCUAGUACCGCAUGGUACAGACGGAAAAGAUUUAUCGGUGUAAGAUGGACCCGCGUCUGAUUAGCUAGUUGGUAGGGUAACGGCCUACCAAGGCGACGAUCAGUAGCCGGCUUGAGAGAGUGAUCGGCCACAUUGGGACUGAGACACGGCCCAAACUCCUACGGGAGGCAGCAGUGGGGAAUAUUGCACAAUGGGGAAACCCUGAUGCAGCAACGCCGCGUGAGUGAAGAAGUAUUUCGGUAUGUAAAGCUCUAUCAGCAGGGAAGAAAAUGACGGUACCUGACUAAGAAGCCCCGGCUAACUACGUGCCAGCCGCCGCGGUAAGAC
rnacentral:rRNA from 1 species